rnacentral:rRNA from 1 species
CCUACGGGCGGCAGCAGUGGGGAAUAUUGCACAAUGGGGGAAACCCUGAUGCAGCGACGCCGCGUGAGUGAAGACGUAUUUCGGUAUGUAAAGCUCUAUCAGCAGGGAAGAAGGAAGACGGUACCUGACUAAGAAGCCCCGGCUAACUACGUGCCAGCAGCCGCGGUAAUACGUAGGGGGCAAGCGUUAUCCGGAUUUACUGGGUGUAAAGGGAGCGUAGACGGCGGUGCAAGUCUGAAGUGAAAGCCCAGGGCUCAACCCUGGGACUGCUUUGGAAACUGUGGAGCUGGAGUGCUGGAGAGGUAAGCGGAAUUCCUAGUGUAGCGGUGAAAUGCGUAGAUAUUAGGAGGAACACCGGUGGCGAAGGCGGCUUACUGGACAGUGACUGACGUUGAGGCUCGAAAGCGUGGGGAGCGAACAGGAUUAGAUACCCGAGUAGUC